GAACUUUCUUGCACAGUAAUGUGGACUGUUCAGGAAGUGAAACUUCUAUAGACAAUUGUAGGUACAGCAGCUAUAUUAGUUAUUACUGUCACCAUGGUCGGGAUGCUGGCGUCGUCUGUUCAGCAAACUCGCAGGCAGUCGCCUAGUGCCUGAGCUCGGAUCAUACCAAAAUUAGUGGGAAUUUACGACGUAAGCAACCCAGAGCCCACCAUCUCCUUGUACAGUAAUGAGGUCACCUGGGGUCAGGACGUCAGCAUCACUUGCUCAGUCUCAGAAAAGUUCUCAGGUGGAACUUUUAUCCUCCAGAAGACUUCAGGCUCA